GCGCAGUUCACACACCCAGCCACGCGCGACCUGAACCUUUUCGAGAUUGCGCUGUACGACAAGAAGGUGGAUAACUAUGAGGUACGGAGGCAAUGGAAAGGGAGGGCAUGGAGUUGCAUAUGGUCGGUUGUGGAUUUGUUGGGGCACGGGGAUUUAUUUGGGCACGCCAGCACACGGGAUUGAGGUGAUCAGGUUUGUUGUUGUUAUUACAGCGGACUGCCGCCAGGAUCACUACAUCCCAAACACAAUGUCGUACUCCCGCCAGAGGUUGCAUUAGCCAGAUUUCCGCUUCGGGAUAUUGGAUGCCCCAAUCGUAUAACAACAUAUGACUAAUGACCGUUUGAGCAAUUGGGAAGUCCCAAAAGUGAUGUAGCCUGGGCGACUGGGACUGUUCACGCGUGUGUGUGUGUGUGUGUGUGUGUGUAUGUGUGUGUGUGUGUGUGAGUGUGUGUGUGUGUGAGUGUGUGUGUGUGUGUGUGUUACGUGGUUGGGGGUGCGUGACCCCAUACCUGUAAAACUACCCAUACGAGCCGAAGGCCCAAGGGUAAACGCCUAAAAGCCACGGAGAAAAGGAAACACCGCACUAUCAGCCCAGACUAGCGCCCAAAGGGGAUAACUGAGUUGCGGUGGGCCCACAUAUGCUCCAACAUCCUCGCCAGACGCGCUGGCUCCCAUUUCAUGGCAGCACGUCUGGCAAGGAUGUUGACAUGUAAAAGCGGUUGGGAUGCCAUUACCUGACCACCUCCACCACGUUUCCUUUUGGGAGUUUUCCCAGCACCGCACAGUCGACCACGCACGACGGAAAGCAUGUUGUAAAGCAUGAACUUGCCCAAGAUGGUGGUUGCUGUGGGGAAGGAGUGUUAAAUGCUUCCCGCGCAAAUAGCACAUCAGCUUGAUUACGGUCAUAUAGCAGCUGCUCACCUGUACACACGACGGACCUCGCGGAUGCGUAGAACUGAGAGUCUUUGUGGAGGUGGGAUGGAGUCCAACCCAGCGGCAGGCACUAGCGUACAUAGACGGAUACGAAGCAAUUAAGACGGCGGCAGCGGAGUCUUGAACUCUGAACAUCAAGUAGUCGUGAU
rnacentral:lncRNA from 1 species